GCAGGUGUAGUUUAGUGGUAAAACUUCAGCCUUCCAAGCUGACUAUGAGGGUUCGAUUCCCUUCACCUGCU
rnacentral:tRNA from 2 species